rnacentral:rRNA from 1 species
UACGAAGAGGGCUAGCGUUGCUCGGAAUUACUGGGCGUAAAGCGUGCGUAGGUGGUUUGUUAAGUCUGUUGUGAAAGCCCCGGGCUCAACCUGGGAAUGGCAAUGGAUACUGGCAAGCUAGAGUGCGGUAGAGGGUAGUGGAAUUCCCGGUGUAGCGGUGAAAUGCGUAGAGAUCGGGAGGAACACCAGUGGCGAAGGCGGCUACCUGGACCAGCACUGACACUGAGGCACGAAAGCGUGGGGAGCAAACAGG